UCUGUGCGGUUGUGUUUAGCGGCGAGUCACGAAAUUCGAUAGAAACUUAAUUAACUUAAUAUCAAAAUAGAAUUCAAAUCGUAACAGUUGCAAGCAUUCGAAUUGAAAGCAAGUUAAAGUACGAAGUGUUUGCAAAGUGAACAAGUGCCGUUUUUUUAGACCGUUACAGUUGCAUUUCUUGCGGAAAUUGUCAGCACAGUGCCAGCAAUUAGUGCAUGUAUUUCAAAUAAGAAAAAACAAAAGGAUUGUCUUUAAACUGUGCACAUAAAUAAAUCAUAAGUAAAGAGAAAGAAAUACGUCAACGCCAACGAAAAACGCCCACAUUGAGACAAACGCGCGCAUUUAAUUUAUGCAACGAGCUAAUUAAUUAAUUUGUCAAAGUGUUGCAUGCGACGACAAUCAGCCGAGGAACAAAGACAGCAACAACAACAGCAACAAGAACAAGAAGAAGAACAGUAGCAACAACAGUAACAACAACAGUUCAUUGAUCCACAGAGAGCCACAAUUCGCAUUGCGCAGUUGCUUUUACAAAACUUCAGACACGACUUGAAGUUCAAAGUGCGCCCCAGACAACCGCAGACUAACUCACAACAACAACAACAACAAUAAGAACAACAACAGCUACAACAUGUCCAACACCUGCCAAAGCUACGCAUCCGUGUUCAUAGUUCUAGGCACAUUCCUAGCCAUUCUGGUGGCGGCCCAAAGUGCGCCCGUAUCCACAACAACACAAGCUGAGAUCUACCUGUCACAGUUUGGCUAUCUGCCGGCCUCGGCGCGCAAUCCGGCCAACAGCGGACUGCAGGACAAGCACACCUGGGUGAGUGCCAUACAGGAGUUCCAGAGCUUCGCCGGACUCAAUAUCACCGGCGAACUGGAUGAGGAGACAAUGAAAUUGAUGUCACUGCCACGUUGCGGUGUCAGAGAUCGAGUCGGCACCGGAGACAGUCGAUCGAAGCGUUAUGCACUCCAGGGCAGUCGCUGGCGUGUCAAGAACCUCACCUACAAAAUCUCCAAGUAUCCCAAGCGCUUGAAGCGCAACGAUGUCGAUGCCGAAAUUGCGCGCGCCUUUGCCGUCUGGAGCGAGGAUACCGAUCUAACGUUCACCAGAAAAACAUCGGGACCAGUGCAUAUUGAGAUCAAAUUCGUUGAGAGCGAGCACGGCGAUGGCGAUGCCUUCGAUGGCCAAGGCGGCACUUUGGCUCACGCCUUCUUUCCCGUCUUUGGCGGCGAUGCUCACUUUGAUGAUGCCGAAUUAUGGACCAUCGGCUCGCCACGCGGCACGAAUCUCUUUCAGGUCGCCGCGCACGAAUUUGGCCACUCGCUCGGUCUCUCGCACUCAGAUCAGAGCUCGGCGCUGAUGGCGCCCUUCUAUCGCGGCUUCGAGCCCGUCUUUAAGCUGGACGAGGAUGACAAGGCGGCCAUACAAUCGCUAUAUGGACGCAAGACCAAUCAGUAUACGCCCACCAAUGUUUACCCGCCCAGCACGCACAGACCAUCGUUUACGCCACCGAAGGUGCCGCUGGAUGAUUCCAUAUGCAAGGACUCCAAGAUCGACACCCUGUUCAACUCGGCAAAUGGCGAAACGUACGCCUUCAAGGGCGACAAAUACUACAAGCUGACAACAGACUCCGUGGAGGAGGGUUAUCCGCAACUGAUAUCGAAGGGCUGGCCGGGAUUGCCGGGCAACAUCGAUGCGGCAUUCACGUACAAGAACGGCAAAACGUACUUCUUCAAGGGCACCCAAUACUGGCGCUAUCAGGGCACCCAAAUGGACGGCGCCUAUCCCAAGGAGAUUAGCGAAGGCUUCACGGGCAUACCCGAUCAUUUGGACGCGGCCAUGGUUUGGGGCGGCAAUGGCAAGAUCUACUUCUUCAAGGGCAGCAAAUUCUGGCGCUUCGAUCCGGCCAAACGACCGCCCGUCAAGGCCAGCUACCCCAAGCCCAUCUCCAACUGGGAGGGCGUGCCAAACAAUCUGGAUGCGGCGCUCAGAUACACAAAUGGCUACACGUACUUCUUCAAGGGCGACAAGUACUAUCGCUUCCACGAUGCACGCUUCGCGGUGGAUACGGCCACGCCGCCAUUCCCCAGGCCGACGGCACACUGGUGGUUCGGCUGCAAGAACACGCCCUCGUCCACAGGUAAUUUUGAAGAGGAUCCCUUUGAGUCUGAGCAGCGAUCGCGUCUGCAUGCCGAUGAUAAUAACGGUGAUAUUGAUCUGGACGCAGGUGAGUGGGAUCGACUCGGCGGUAGUUUUGUUUGAGUCCAAAAAGCGGAUUCAACUAUUUAACUGAACUGUAAACAAAUAAAUAUUUAAUAGAAAUUCGAUUGAUCGAAAACUAAAGUCAAAAAGAUCUCAUAAACAUAUAUAUGAGUUGUUACUUCUCUUACCAGCCAAAAAAAAAUGUUUAAAAAUCUGGCAAAGUCUCUCUCCAUACAAAAGGAGAGACAUAUCCAUUAAAUGAAUUUAUACAAAUAUGGUAUGUUUAAUUAAGUUUAUAUAUGUAUCGUAUCGUAUCGUACUCGUACUCGUAUUGUAGUCAAUUCUUUUUAUUGAAGUCAAUGUGUUUGUUUUUAUUGCCCAGCAAAUAACAUUUGAACCUGAAAAAACAACAACAGCAAAAAACAGAAAAGAAAAGAAAAUACAUUAUUUUUAUUGAAAACUAAUUCUCGAAUUGUGUAUGUCCAAUUUCUUCUAUUAGUACUCGUAGCUCUUGUAAACAUUUCUGUAUAUACAUAUAUAAUUUAUAUUUUGUUUCCUACUUUGUGGUGUUUUACUUUAGUUUGUUUCAGUGUACUCAAAACAGAACCAGCUUCAGGCUACAGCGCUACACUUUCCUCUCAACACUUGUACAAUUGUACGCUCCUAACCAGCAUUAUCUUUUAUCACUUUUAUUUAACUGUCUAUUGGUUCCUGAAGUUCUUACUAAUUCUAACAGAAUUCUUAUUUUUCACUGGUUUCUUGGCUAAUGUUACUAAUACCCAAAGUUUCAAAGAGUUCCAUAAUAACAUUUAUUAUUUCUAUACUUCUUCGGUUUUUUGGUUUAUUUAAGUGAAAAUAAAAUAUAUUUUUUUUAGUUCAAUUGUGAAAAUGGCAAGCUCCUAACCCUAUUAUUAUUUUCAUUUUCGUUUCGUUUAUUAACAUUUCUACAACUAUUUAUCUAACAAUGUUUAAUUAUAACCUAACUCUUUCGUAGCUUAACUAACCAACUCAAUUUAGCAUACCAUGUAAAAACAAUCAAAUAAAAUCCAAACGCAGGCGAAAUUGAACAAAAUUUAAAAUUGUGUUAGGUCUAAAAUAAAAUGAUAAUAUUAUAAUCAUAUCUUGCUUACAGUGUAAAAAACGAAAACAAACAAAUGAAAAAUAAACAAACUACUGUACCGCAGAUUCCAAAUACGAAUACAAAUACGGGCACUGGCAUGGGUCUGCUGCCCGGCUGGAUGUGGAGCCUAACGAACCGAUACUUUUAAAAAGCGCGCGCUAGUUCCAGCUCCAGUUCCUUCACAGUUUCGUUUCGUGUAUUCUGUCCAACAUCAACUAUAUAACUGUAUUAAUAUCAUAUACACAUAUACAUUUAUUGUAUCUGUAUUUAUACCAAUGCAAAACGCGUGCCUUAAGUUGUAUUACGUCCAUAUAAAUAUGCCUGCUUGAGUGAUCUCUGUCCAAAAAGUAAAAUGUCACAAAAAAUAUAUAUAUAUAAAAAAAAAGAAA